AAACAAAUUUUCAGAAUGUCUGUGUAUUUGCAGAUUAAUUUGUCCCUAAAAGAGUAUUGUAUUGAGUUUCUUCGAGAAAAAGUGCAACCUGAGUUUUGUUUGGGAACUGUGGCAGUUUUCCGAGAAAUAUGAUUGGACACCGUGACUGAAUACAUCGUUCAGAUGGCUGUGGAUCAGAUUGACACCGUCUGUCAACACAACGAGCUGCUGGACCUGCCGAAGUCCAUGCUCUCCAUUCUACUUUCAGAACAACAGAAGCUGAGCUGGACGAUGUCUGUAAAGCCAUUCUGCCGCUGGGUGGUGGCGGAUCAAGACAAAAGAAAGAUUCACCUUUUAGAAUUGCUUCCCUUUGUUUGCUUUCCCUUGCUAAGCUCCAGUUAUUCCAGUGUGACUUGCUUGAGUUACCAGAACCAAUCAUUCAGAGACAUCCUCCUGUUUCUGUCAAAACGGGAUGCAGAUAGAAUCAGCCAAGGUCUGACUUACCGCUUAAUUGAUGAUAUAAAAAAUAAGCAAAAGAUUCUGGGUUCAGUGUCUGUGCCUCUUGACUUGCCAGAAAUCCAGAGCCGCGGCAUUGUGAUUGGAGGUUACACCGAGAUUAACAAAACCCUCCAGAGAUACAUACGCAUUCAAUUUAAAUCUUACUUAUAUAUGAGGUUAUAACAAACUAGCCCCCUUGCCUGAAGACAUUGGACUGGACUUUGCCAGCUGCACGUGGUACAACGAGGUUUACGUCAGCGGUGGAUCCGAGUUGUCCACCUUCUUUGCUGUCUACAAACCAGGGGACAACGAGUGGGAGGUGCUGCCCUCUCUACCAGAUGUCGGUCUAGAAAAGCAUGCAAUGGUUGCCGUUAGUUCCAACAUCUACCUUCUAGGUGGACUUGCAAAAAACACCUCUGGAGAGAAAACGAUUUGCUCAAGGGUCCUGAAAUACAACACAAGCUCGAGGGAAUGGAGUGUCUUCUGUCAGCUGUUGCUAGGUGUUCAGGAAUCCACCGCGGCUGUUCUCGGUCACCGCAUUUACCUGUUUGGCGGAGUCGAUAGUAAAGGAGCCAGAACAGAUUGGGUGCAGUGCGUGGACACCCUGGGUGGCUGCACCUACCAGGCCGGCAAACUUCCGUCACUCACGUGCGGGGCGCGAGCUCUGAGCAAUGGAGGACGUAUUUACGUCGUGAGACCCGAAGGAGACGUGUUGUCGAUGAAGGAAAACUCUUCCUUGGCGAAUCAGGUAGAACAAAAAUUGUCUGCUACGAAGGAAGAAUCAGAAAUUGGUAACCAAGUCAGCUCCACCGUUAGCUUAAACGGAUGCCUGGCAAUUUUGAAGGAAGACGUCACUUGGUGCUUGCCUGCAUGCAGGGGGGAUCACCGUGUGUGGAGGCGAGAGCAAGGCGGGAGAACUGUUAAAAACAUUUGAACUGAUUCCUCUGGGAAAGGAUACUAUGCCAAAGAAACCCUUGAAUCUUCUAGCUGGGACAGCGAAGUUUGACAUCCAUGUGCUAAAUGUUCCCGUGGAGUACAUGAAAGAAGAAACAGCAGAGAUGAAGCCCUUUGUGGUUGGGGACAUCGUCACGCUUCAUCCAGACGAAGAGAAACGUCUACAAAAUAUAAUGGUUAAUGGGACACGUUAUGUGGGAGGUUACAACACCUAUCCAGCAGAUUACGCAAUUCCUGUGGGAAUUGGUACAAUUAAAGCGAUUGACGAUGCAACCCAACUGAUCAGAGUGGAUUUCCGAAACUACGAAGGAUGGCGAGGCUUUGCGAGAGAACUGCUGCCCGCACCUUGAUUCACGCUAUUGACGUUGAAUUACUGGCUGAUCCACGGAAAGUAAAUGCAAAUCAUCAUGGAACUCUAAACUUCUUAUCUUAUCUUCAAUAGUCUAUAGACAGCACGUGACAUUGUUGACUGUUUCCUCCCGUUGUUCUGGACACACUCCAGGUAACACAGCCAUCUGGAGGACGCCAUCUAGCCCCUCUGGUCGCAAGGUAUCGACACUCCAUGAACUCCUGUGGCUCUAGCUUUUGACAAGAACUAGCACUGAUAUGUUACAGCUGGAAGCUUCUACAAAGUACUGCUAGAUUCACAUUGAAAGAGAGCUUCUCUAGUUGAUGACACUGAUCAUUUAAUGCAUGAAGUGUUGUCUAAGUCUUUACUUGUUUUCGCUUGUUUUAAAGACCGUUAGACUUUUAUAGGAAGACAUCCUUGUUUGUUUACGACAUAGGGAAUGUAUGCUCACUUUAAGGUGUGCUGAAAAAUUUACAUAAAUUUUGUAUAUAUGAACAAUAUCAUUUAGUAUUAAUUUCUUUAGUAUUGUAUUUAAGUAAAUUGUGUGGUAUUGUUGAAAACAAUUUAUAAUGUAGACAAUGUCAAAAUCAUAUUUGAAUCAAAUACGAUCUCAUUAAUGCUUUUAAGGAAUGUUGUCCUUGCCCAAAUGUUAAUUUAUGAUGAACUUUUAUUCUCAUAUUGUGUUAGCAGUCAUCAUAACACAAUUUUGUCAUGUUUCGUUAAUUCUUCUAAACCCGAAAAAAAAACGAGUAUAUAAAACUAUAAAAGUCAAAUGUCUAACGAUGCUGUAGGAAACAACUUGUAAACAGCUUCCAGACCUUAAUCGAGCGAGAAGGAAAGUCCAACAACCUAAGUCCAGCCAACGAGUCCAAACGACCCUUAAAGGACUCAAACCGACCGUGACUGAUAGAUGUGGCGGCUAGAAAGUAAAAAUAUAAUUUAUGGAAAAUAAAGUUGCAUUCAACAUUCAAUAAACAAAUUGUGUGUGUGUGCGUGUGUGUGUCAAAUAUCAGCUAGAUAAAAACUGUUAUCAAAUC
rnacentral:lncRNA from 1 species